AACUGUUCCAAUAAUUUCAAGAACCUUUUUAGAACAUUUCAAGGACAAAAUAUGGUCAAGAAAUUUCUAAAAAUGUUUUAAAAUGUAGUUCUUGAACACAUCUAGAACGCUUUAAGAACCAGUAAGUUCUACAAAAGUUCUAAUGGGGAAUAAGAACAUAAUAGAACACCUUACACUUACAAAUAGCCAAAUAGACUUCAUAGUAGCGACAGCAGCAGCAGCAGUAGUAGUAGUUGUUGUAGAUGUAGUAUCUGUAUUAGUAGUAGUAGUUGUUGUUGUUGUAGUAGUAGGUGUUGUUGUUGUAGUAAUUGAUGUAGUAGCAGUAGUGUUUUUUAUAUCAGUAGAGGUUGUGGUGGUAGUAGUAGUAGUAGAAGUAGUAGCAUUAACAAGUUCUGUAGCAAUAGUAGUAGCAAUAGAAGUAGCAGUAGUAGCAGUUGUUGCAAUAGUAGCAGUUGUUGCUGCUGUUGCUGCUGCUGUUGCUGCUGCUGUUGCUGCUGUUCUUGUUGCUGCUGUUGUGUUGCUGCUGUUGCUGUUGUUGUUGCUGCUGUUAUUGUUGCUGUUGUUGGUGGUGGUGUUGUUGUUGGUGGUGUUGUUGAUGCUGUAGUAAUUAAAGUAGUAGUUCUGCAGAAGUAGGAGUAGUUGUUACUUUCAAAGCAAUUUCUACAAGUUUAAAUUCCUUAACCCUGUCCAAGUGGUAUACACACUGUUUUUUCUCAAUAUCAAACUCAGCCAGUCCAGGUUGUCAAAUAACAAUCUAUCUGAUAACCCCAGCGUGUGCUUUGCAUCAGAUGUUGGGUAUGUUUGCUGCAAAUCUAUUGGUUAUAAGAUAUAACAGCCUUUUCUAAUUGGCUGAAUUCAAAUACAGAAAGUUUACCUGUUAGAUUGAAACAUGAAACAUGGUGGACAAUGUACUGGUUUAACUUGUUAAAAUAAAGUUAAAGAAAUUUAACAAACCGAAGAGUUCAUGAGUUUUUCCAUUAAAAACACUUUCUUAAAAUACUUAUGUAUUUAUAUCAUUUGGAAAGUGACAUGAAAUAUUGCUAAAGAGUGAUGCAUACAUUGUUUGAGCAGUCUGUCUAGGAAUAGAACAACAACUGAAGUUGAUGGAAGAUACUGCAGAGUUUGGCAGGGAAAUAAUCCAACAGCAAAGCGGCUCUUUAAGCGCAUUUACCUAGAGGACUUACAGGGCCACAAAUUCAUGAGCACACGUACCUCAUACCAAAAAGGACCCGGAGGCAGUGACUGGUGAUCAAUAUUCUCAGAAGAAGAGGAAAAUGGAAGUGGAAGACUUGGACAAACAUUUUUAAAAACUAGCCUCUGUGUUAAGCCUGGCAGUCUGUGGCUGGUGACAUGUUUUAUUUUGGUUACUUCUUGUAUAAAAAAGACCAGUUAUUUAUUUUGUGAAUUGUAUUUUGUGUUUGUUUUUUGUCUUAAUUUAUUUGUUUUUUUUUUAUUUAGGAAUUUGGAUAAUUGAAUAAAGUCUGUGUUUAAUAGUACUGAGCAUAGUAUAAUAAAUAACAAAUUUACAACAGUUGUUAAUUUGUUAUGUAUUAUUAUUAACUAUGCCCAGUACUUGAAUACUGGCUGUCUGCA